AUGCCAUCCAUCCACCCAGCUGUUGGAGCACCAGCCAGCCUCGCAGUGAGGCUGGAGGAUGCUGUGCUCGUGCAGGAUCCACUGCGGCCCUUUUACAUCCCCGUGCGUAACCCUCAGCUGGGCCACAUGUGGGACGCAUUAACCCAGCUGCAGAUGGGGAGCCUUUCCAAAGAGCUCUCCUCCUUCCACAGCCUGGGUCCCAGGAGCAGCGGGUGGAGUCGGAGCAUUUCCAGGAUGGUAAUAUUGCAAAAUAUUGCAGAGAGCUCUCCCAGGGCUUCUAUCCAGCAGGUACAAUGCACCAAUGUGCAGAAGAUGGGACCAACACAUCCUGUCCUGGCUUCAAACCAUUGCCACCUUCCUUGGUUUGCAUCUGAUCCUUGAGAGGACAAACACACUGCUUCCCAAAAGCUUCAGGUGAGGAAGACUGGCUGUUCCUCUGAGAUGUCCCUUCCACAGGGGCUAUCACUGCUAAAAGAUGGCCUGGGCAUUACAUCUGCACAGCGAUGGGAGAAUACCAUGAAAGCCAAGCUCUUUGAAGCCUCAGUGUCACCCACUCUCCGCAAAUGAGCCUCUGCAUGACAGCAAGACCCCAAAACCGAUAGCAGAGGGCAAGGUAAAAUCACCAUCGAGCGUCAAGCCUGUCUUCUGUGUUGUUGGGUGGUCUGAAAGUUAUGGGUUUAAUGCGAUGCAUACACAAUACUUUGCAUUCAUCUUCUAUAUUUCUGCCAGGCUUUUGUGGUGACUUGCAAGAGAAGUCAAUGUCAGAAGGAAUGUAAUGAAAUAUUCAUUCCUUCUGUUAAGGAAAUUCAGAGAAAGGCAGGAAGAAGGAACCAAAUGUGAGAUCAAGACAGGAAGAUGUGUCCUGCUCAUUUCAUUUGCAUUUCUGUAGCCCAGAGCAGGGAGAAGAGAGCUCUGGCUCCUCACCAUCAGGCUGAGGACAGCAGCAGAAGGAAAAUCCCAAAGAACAUGAAGAGACAAGAAACUCCUCCUGAAACUGCAAGGGAGAAAAAUGUGGGUUUAUCUGAAAUUCAUCAAAGGGAGAACAUUGCUACAAGAAAUACGUCUUUAUCGUCUCUCACAUAUAAGGGCACAGAAGCAGGCAAGAAGUCUGUCUGCUGAUUUUCUCCCAAAGUCCUGCUGCCCACUCUGGCAGCCCCAUCCCACUGCCUGCUCAGUGCCUCCCAUCAUUGAGCAGGAGCUGCCUUCUGAGCUUGGCAUGAACAAAUACAGCUUAGUAUUUUGCAUCUCUUUUGCUUUUGGGAAAGGAUUUCUAAAUAUGAAGCCCAAUAUGAAGUUUUUCAAGCCCAGCCUUUUUCAUUUCUUCUCCUUCCUGCCCUAAAAGGAUGAGGACGAGGCACAUCCCUUUUUCCCCUUGAGGCAGCACAACGCUGGUGAUGCUGGAGGCAAUGCCCACCUCUGUCCCUUCUCCUCUCUCCAUGAGAUUACUGAGUGGCACUGGCUGGCUGAAUUAAUGCUCGAGUGUUCCCCAUCAAAAAUGUUCUACGGGAGUGCAAAGCACUAAUAAAAUUGUUCCCCAUAUGGGAUUUUCA
rnacentral:lncRNA from 1 species